AACGAACGCUGGCGGCAUGCCUAACACAUGCAAGUCGAACGAGACCUUCGGGUCUAGUGGCGCACGGGUGCGUAACGCGUGGGAACCUGCCCUUAGGUUCGGAAUAACUCCCCGAAAGGGGUGCUAAUACCGGAUAAUGUCUUCGGACCAAAGAUUUAUCGCCUUAGGAUCGGCCCGCGUUGGAUUAGCUAGUUGGUAGGGUAAAAGCCUACCAAGGCGACGAUCAAUAGCUGGUCUGAGAGGAUGAUCAGACACACUGGGACUGAGACACGGCCCAAACUCCUGCGGGAGGCAGCAGUGGGGAAUAUUGGACAAUGGGCGAAAGCCUGAUGCAGCAAUGCCGCGUGAGUGAUGAAGGCCUUAGGGUUGUAAAGCUCUUUUACCCGGGAAGAUAAUGACAGUACCGGGAGAAUAAGCUCCGGCUAACUCCGUG
rnacentral:rRNA from 1 species